rnacentral:ncRNA from 1 species
CAAUACUCUCCGAGCCUUUCUGCCUACGGAUGUUUCUAUGGCAGUCAGGCCGGGAACCAUUUGUUCCAACAGGGUAUACCGGGAAACGGGUAUGCCUUCCGUGUUUGAAAAGGAGAGCAGGCAUAAA